rnacentral:rRNA from 1 species
CCAGACCUUUUCUUAAAACCCUGGUUUAAACCCUAAGAGAAUCUCCUCUGGGGGGGAAGGAAAAAAUGGGGAAAUUAAGUAACUUUAAAGGAGGGUAAAAAACCCCGUUAAGAGGGAUUUCCCUUAGGGGAAAUUCCCCGGAAUACCCGAAAGGCCCGAAUUCCUUUCCUGGGGAACCCAGGUACCUGGAACCCCUUGAAGAAAUCCCGAAAAAGCCCCCGGGGGGAACCCAAAAACCAAGAGGAAUUUAAGGAAUACCCCCCUUGGUUAAAGUCCCCACCCGGCCCCCUUUAACCGGAUAGAAAAUGGUUUAAAUCCUUGGAUGCUAGCCACUUCAGUGAUGCAGCUAACGCAUUAAACCAUUCCGCCUGGGGAGUACGGCCGCAAGGUUAAAACUCAAAGGAAUAGACGGGGACCCGCACAAGUGGUGGAGCAUGUGGUUUAAUUCGAAGAUACGCGAAGAACCUUACCUGGUCUUGACAUAUACCAGAACCUACCAGAGAUGGUGGGGUGCCUUCGGGAACUGGUAUACAGGUGCUGCACGGCUGUCGUCAGCUCGUGUCGUGAGAUGUUGGGUUAAGUCCCGCAACGAGCGCAACCCUCGUGACUAGUUACUAACAGCAUAGGCUGAGGACUCUAGUCAGACUGCCUUCGUAAGGAGGAGGAAGGUGGGGACGACGUCAAGUCAUCAUGGCCCUUACGGCCAGGGCGACACACGUGCUACAAUGGGGAGGACAAUGAGAAGCGAAAUCGCGAGAUGGAGCAAAUCUAUAAACCUUCUCUCAGUUCGGAUUGUAGUCUGCAACUCGACUACAUGAAGCUGGAAUCACUAGUAAUCGUGAAUCAGCCAUGUCACGGUGAAUACGUUCCCGGGUCUUGUACUCACCGCCCGUCACACCAUGGGAGUUGAUUUCACCCGAAGCGGGGAUGCUAAAUAGGCUACCCGCCACGGUGGAAUUUAGCGACUGGGGUGAAGUCGGUACCAAGGUAACCGUAGGAGAACCUGCGGCUG